rnacentral:lncRNA from 1 species
AUGUCUCUUCCAUUUCUUUCCACUCACAGUCCAUUUGCCAGAAUUAAUCACAUGGUCCUGCCUAACUGCAAGAAGGGCAGGGUACGCAGGAAGAAGAAAGGAACCAGAUUUGAUCUCAUGUGUUUUGGAUGAAGUUACUUCUAAGAAGGGGGCAUGAUUGAAUCUUCUGCUUUCCUUUUGAGCAUUUUCUCUGUGAGCCAAACUGACUGUUAUCCCUGCCACCAGGUAUAUUAAUGCUGUAAGGAAUUGUGCAGGAGGUCAAAAACCUGGGGGAUGCAUUAC